AGAAUCAACGCUGGCGGCGUGCCUAACACAUGCAAGUCGAACGAGAAAGUGGAGCAAUCCAUGAGUAAAGUGGCGCACGGGUGAGUAACACGUGACUAACCUACCCUUGAGUGGGGAAUAACUUCGGGAAACCGAGGCUAAUACCGCAUAACACCUACGGGUCAAAGGAGCAAUUCGCUUAAGGAGGGGGUCGCGGCAGAUUAGUUAGUUGGCGGGUAAUGGCCCACCAAGACCAGUGAUCUGUA
rnacentral:rRNA from 1 species